rnacentral:rRNA from 1 species
GCCCUUACUCCUACGGGAGGCAGCAGUGGGGAAUAUUGCGCAAUGGGCGAAAGCCUGACGCAGCGACGCCGCGUGUGGGAUGAAGGUCUUCGGAUUGUAAACCACUGUCGGGAGGGACGAAUGCGCCGCAAGGCRAGUGACGGUACCUCCAAAGGAAGCACCGGCUAACUCUGUGCCAGCAGCCGCGGUAAUACAGAGGGUGCAAGCGUUAAUCGGAAUUACUGGGCGUAAAGGGUGCGUAGGUGGUUUGUUAAGUCAGGCGUGAAAUCCUCGGGCUCAACCUGGGAACUGCGCUUGAUACUGGCAGACUCGAGUGUGGUAGAGGAUAGUGGAAUUCCCGGUGUAGCGGUGAAAUGCGUAGAUAUCGGGAGGAACAUCAGUGGCGAAGGCGGCUAUCUGGACUAACACUGACACUGAGGCACGAAAGCGUGGGUAGCAAACAGGAUUAGAUACCCUGGUAGUCCACGCCCUAAACGAUGGGUACUAGACGUCGGGAAGCUUGUCUUCUUGGUGUCGCAKCUAACGCAAUAAGUACCCCGCCUGGGGAGUACGGCCGCAAGGCUAAACUCAAUGAAUUGACGGAGG